AAACCAGCACCUCAAGUGGUCAGGAUGAUUAUUGGGCCUAAAGCAUCCGUAGCCUGCUCUGUAAGUUUUCGGUUAAAUCUGUAUGCUCAACAUACAGGCCGCCGGGAAUACUGCAGAGCUAGGGAGUGGGAGAGGUAGACGGUACUCGGGAGGAAGUGGUAAAAUGCUUUGAUCUCUCGAUGACCACCUGUGGCGAAGGCGGUCUACCAGAACACGUCCGACGGUGAGGGAUGAAAGCUGGGGGAGCAAACCGGAUUAGAAACCCGAGUAGUCC
rnacentral:rRNA from 1 species